rnacentral:rRNA from 1 species
GUGGGGAAUCUUAGACAAUGGGCGCAAGCCUGAUCUAGCCAUGCCGCGUGAUCGAUGAAGGCCUUAGGGUUGUAAAGAUCUUUCAGUGGGGAAGAUAAUGACUGUACCCACAGAAGAAGCCCCGGCUAACUCCGUGCCAGCAGCCGCGGUAAUACGGAGGGGGCUAGCGUUGUUCGGAAUUACUGGGCGUAAAGCGCACGUAGGCGGAACAGAAAGUCAGAGGUGAAAUCCCAGGGCUCAACCUUGGAACUGCCUUUGAAACUCCUGGUCUUGAGGUCGAGAGAGGUGAGUGGAAUUCCGAGUGUAGAGGUGAAAUUCGUAGAUAUUCGGAGGAACACCAGUGGCGAAGGCGGCUCACUGGCUCGAUACUGACGCUGAGGUGCGAAAGCGUGGGGAGCAAACAGGAUUAGAUACCCCAGUAGUCC